ensembl:lncRNA
CCAGAAGGCCAAUUGUCUUGGGCUGCACCAAAGAAGGAGUGGUCAACAUGGAGAGGGAGGUGAUUGUUCCCCUUUUGCCUUGGGUGAUCUUCUCUAGUGCUUGAUUUAGUGGCUGGCAAUUCUGUCCAUGGCAGGAGAUUGCAACAUGAUGAUCUGUAAGGUCCAUUUGUAACCCAAGCCAUUCUAUGAUAAGUCUUGUAAGCCAAAAGGAUACCUCAUUUAAUGAGAAGUACAUAGGAAAGAACACAGCUCUGUCUUAAGAUUUGAAUGUCUCUCAUUUUGCUAAUUAAACAAAAGCAAACACCAGGACUAAAACAUGCGUUAAAAGCAUUAAGUAGGUCCAUGGAUAUCAACAGAUAGAUGGAGUAAUCCUUCCUUCCCAAAUGUGAAUUGCUUUGGAUAGGCCUAGUAAUACCAGUGGCCAAAUACAGAUUUAUUUUUCUUUGACUAUUUUAGCCUGGUUUGGGCUUUCCCCUUUUUUAAAAAUACUUCUAAACAUUCAUGUAGAAACCAAAAUCUGAAUCUUAUUUCAUUUACAUUCUUUUGACAGAGUUAAAAUGGCUGAAAGUGGCUUGAAUAGAUUAAGAAACCCGAGAGCUGGUUUGGUGUCACAGGGACUAGGCGAAUGUGUGCUUCAUUUCUUUGCAGCUGCUUUCUUUCUUACAGUUAUUGAAGUGAGAAAACUGCUAGUCACGUGGGGAGAGGAAGCAGAAGUGCUGUUUAGAAGAAUUCCUAAAUUUUUGGCACUGGAACAGUUUGCCCAUAGCAGUCAGUGGUGGAUCCCCCAUCCCUGGAGAUAUCUGAGGUCAGCCCAGAUGGGGCUCUGAGCAACGUGAUCUGGCUGUCAGAUGUCCCUGUUCACUGCAGGUGAGUUGAACUAGAUGUCUUUAGUGGUCCCUUCCAACUCAAAUAAUUCUAUGAUUCUAGAAUUCAGAUAGAUAGUAAAGAACAGAACACUUUGCUGCUUGUGAGUGAAAGUUCAUGCAGCAUCGACAUAGGUAGGGCAGUGCCUGAAUUAAGCAACAGACGGGAUAUGAAAAAGCUGAAGAGGAGACAGGAUGGAUUGGAAAGCGAUGAGAAAAGUGGACCCAGAGCAGAGACAUAGCAUAGGAAGGUGUGGAAACAUGAGAAACUGUGACAGUUUUGUAAGAGAAGAGAUUUAAAACUGGACUAGAAAAGUAGGAGAAGUACCUGGAGUUCUGACACAUAGUAUAACUGCUGGCAUUGUGAAGAGCAGUGAAAGAUCUGUUAUUGAAAUAUUUUGUCAUAAUUAACUCUUCGCUUUCCUGUUUCACUAUUUAGGAAGUGUACUGAAUGUUUCUGCUUGUUACAUAUUACUUUUAAUAUUCUAUACAAAUAUGUCAUUAUAUCUACAUGAUGGUGAACAGGAAAUGGAACAUUUCUGAGUUUAAAUGAUAAAGGAAAUCUAGGAAAAAAAUCAGAGUGAUUGAGAACUGGGGAGGAAGCCACGAGUUCCCUAUUUAUUUUUAAGCCAGCUCCAGGUGUUUUUCUGUAGGAUGCAAUUCGUCUGGGGGAGGAAGGUGAGCUGCAGUGCCAGUGUGUGCUAUGAAGGAGAGUUUGAGCAUUCCAUCUGCAUUGCGUGGAAUUUCCUUUUCCCACAGAAAUCCCCACUUAUUCCUGGCCGAUGUGGGGGUGAAGGGCAAGAGGGGCAGUGAGUUCAGACACAGUCAGAGGGAAACUGAGAGUAUCAGAAA